UACAGAGGGGGCAAGCGUUGUUCGGAAUUACUGGGCGUAAAGGGCGCGUAGGCGGCCGCCUAAGUCAGACGUGAAAUCCCUCGGCUCAACCGGGGAACUGCGUCUGAUACUGGGUGGCUUGAAUCCGGGAGAGGGAUGCGGAAUUCCAGGUGUAGCGGUGAAAUGCGUAGAUAUCGUGAGGAAGACCAGUGGCGAAGGCGGGUCUCUGGACAGUUCCUGACACUGAGGCACGAAGGCCAGGGGAGCAAACGGC
rnacentral:rRNA from 1 species